CACGAAGGGUGCAAACGUUGCUCGGAAUUAUUGGGCGUAAAGCGCACGUAGGCGGCUUAGCAAGUCGGAAGUGAAAUCCCACGGCUCAACCAUGGAAGUGCUUUCGAAACUGCUGAGCUUGAGUACGAAAGAGGAUCGCGGAAUUCCCGGUGUAGAGGUGAAAUUCGUAGAUAUCGGGAGGAACACCAGUGGCGAAGGCGGCGAUCUGGGUCGAUACUGACGCUGAGGUGCGAAAGCGUGGGGAGCAAACAGG
rnacentral:rRNA from 1 species